AAAAUGCGUUACUUUUCAUGACUUGCAAACUUCAUGAAUGAAAAGACUUCGAAUGCAAAUUGCGCCGAUGGUUUUUAACCAUUGGCACAUUUGUUUGAGAAUCAUAUAUAAUAUAUACUGAUUUCUUUUUGGAAUUAGUGAUAUUUGAAAGGUUUUUUAUGCCUUUUGUACAUGGAGGACUUGGAGUUUUGAGAAUUUCCGUUGUUGGAAACUCUGAUAGCCUUGUCCUUUCAUAACCUUAUCUCAAAGGGGGAAUUUGAUCGCGUCUGUACAAGACGGCUUUCUUUUUAUGGUUUUUCUCUUUUAUGAAAAGCUUGAAUCGACAAUUUUAUAUAUAUUGUUGAGAUAAAAGUUUUUUCAUAUUUUUUUGAGUUGACAUAAAUUAAAGCUCUUCUGUGCGUUCAAAUUUCAUCAUUUUUAUGAUCUCAAAUCAAGUGUGACUACCCGCUGAACUUAAGC
rnacentral:misc_RNA from 1 species